rnacentral:rRNA from 1 species
AUUGAACGCUGGCGGCAUGCCUUACACAUGCAAGUCGAACGGCAGCACGGGAGCUUGCUCCUGGUGGCGAGUGGCGAACGGGUGAGUAAUACAUCGGAACGUACCCUGAAGUGGGGGAUAACGUAGCGAAAGUUACGCUAAUACCGCAUAUUCUGUGAGCGGGAAAGAGGGGGAUCGCAAGACCUCUUGCUUUAGGAGCGGCCGAUGUCUGAUUAGCUAGUUGGUGAGGUAAGGGCUCACCAAGGCGACGAUCCGUAGCGGGUCUGAGAGGAUGAUCGCCACACUGGGACUGAGACACGGCCCAGACUCCUACGGGAGGCAGCAGUGGGGAAUUUUGGACAAAUGGGCGCAAGCCUGAUCCAGCCAUGCCGCGUGAGUGAAG